UAUGAUGUCAUUUGCCAUGACAACACUGUGACAUCACAGGCACCUGCAUGUUGAGAAGCAACGCUGAAAAUGUCCACAGAAGGAGAAUCUGAUGAAUGAGCUGGUGGCUAAGAGAAGAGAUUAGCAUCAGAGGAAGCAACGAUACUAGCCUGACGUGGGGCAGAGGAGCAUCGGCUGGCAGUGUGGCCUCACAGAAGCAGGCAGGAUGGAUGCGGGCACCCAGACCCAGCCGGCCUCAGCCCAGCAAGGAGGCAGAUACCAGAAGUUCUAAUGCAACGCAACAGACAUGGAAGAAUUUUUCCUUGAAGUUCCUCAAGCCACGCCGGCCAGGGACAAAGCCCCGAUCAAAGCCAUCAGAACUACAGGCAAAUAAGCCCAAGGCUCAGAACCCAAACACCGUGCAGAGCCACAAGGAAGGCAGCAGCUCCAUGUGUCCACAGGAGGAACAGAGAUGAUUGGUAACACAAUGAUUUCCAUCUCCCACCAUCAGGAACAGGCUGAGCCUUGGGCCAGCAGAGCAGACCCUGCUGCACCAGCAUCCCCAUCCCAAGCACAGGGCCUCAUAGGCUUGCAUAGGCCUCUGGCAGCGAGCCCACAGCUAGACCAGCCUGACACUGGUGAACAGCAGCCGCUGCUCUUUGUCUUCAAGCAGAAAAUGGCCCCCCUUGCCAUGGCUGCUAGGGGUCCCGCAGAGCAGAAUCGUUCGGCAUCUUUAGAAAUGGAAAUAGUGCCACAGCGUACCCAGCCAGCACCCAUCUCCAUGCAGCUGACCCCACAAGGGAAUUUUGUCCAGCAGCGUUCACAGCCUCCAGCUCUGCGCAACAAGGGCAAGUCAGCUCCAGUCACCUGUCAGCCCCCCAAGGUCAGGCAAGCGCCAGUGGGAACCAGUGUUUCCCCUCCCUGCCUGGAGAUCAUCUCGCUGAAGGAAGGCUUUGCCAUCAAGACCUUUCCCAGGUGCAGCCAAAGCUGUCUGCCUGCAGACCCCAACAGAGCCCGCACUGAGCCCCUGCCAAGGGCUGCCAAGGCACGGGGCGUUCCUGUGAGAAGCCGAGCACCGAGGUCUGUGCCCAUGCCUGAAGCCAAGUGGGUACACAAAAUCCUGUAGUGAGAAAUCUUCCCCAUGCAGCACCUGGUUCCUGUGAGGAUGGCGCAGCUUGAAGCACAUAGCAGCUCUGCCCCAGCGAGUUCACAUUUUAAGGAUGCUUUCCACCCACACACACCCUCAACCCACAUGCAAGAAAUUAAUAAACACAAUGUUCAUUCCA